rnacentral:tRNA from 1 species
GGGCCUCUAGCUCAACCGGUAGAGCAGCGGACUUUUAAUCCGCGGGUUGUGGGUUCGAGCCCCACGGGGCCCA